UGGUGGAGUGAUUUGUCUGGUUAAUUCCGUUAACGAACGAGACCUCGACCUGCUAAAUAGUUUAGCAAAUUCUUCGGGAUUUGUGUAGACUUCUUAGAGGGACUUUAGAUGAGUAGAAGUUCGAGGCAAUAACA
rnacentral:rRNA from 1 species